UUAAACCUGAAAUCGAUUUAGGUUAGACCUGUCAAAAGUAUCGAUUAAGUAGAUAUGCUGAAUUGAAAUAAAAUGAUGAGUCUCUUAUAAUUGGACCAUCGACGUGAAAGGUUGUAUUCUUUUAACUAGAACAUUAAAGUGGCGACGAGUUGAUAAAAUUGGACGGACACAAUCAGAGAAGGAGUCUGGAUUGCUGGAGUGGGGUAAAACGGACAAUCGCUGUAAUUAAAGAACUGGUCGAAAGCGACGCUGAUUUCACGUGCUGGCGCAUUUAGGUGUCACGUAUGCUAUAGAGGAGAAGUUUAACGUUAUACGGAAAAUAUAGAUUGAAGAUAUAAAAAAGACAGAAUUGAAACUGGGAUCAAAAUUGUUCUUAAAGAUUGCACUCGGCGCUCACAUAGUCUCGGCCCACAGGGGGCAGAUGAAGUUGCCAAUCUAUGAUGGACAGAAACGCAAUGUGGCGAUUCGUGUUACGAGUCAGGAAGAACGAUGAGGAACUAAGAGAACUAGAUGCAUAUCUGAAGAGGAAGAAGAUUUCAAAGGAUUCGAGUCAACUGGGGAGGCACCUACUCCAGCUAAACGUGAGAGACAUCCAGUAAAAUUGAAAGCAGCAAUAACAAGAAAACGUCAUACUUCGAACGAUGCAUAUGAUAACAAUCGUGCUAAUACACAAAGACUCAGAAGGUCUAAUCGAGUAAAAAAGAGAAAUUUAGAAAACGAUUUCGUUUAUACAUAAUAAGUUAGAUAUUUUGCUUUCGAAAUUAAGUGUAAUUUCAUAUUGUCAAAAUAGUUUCAUAUGUUGUAAAAAUAUUGUACAUAGAUUCUUAAGAGAGAAGGUAUUGUAUUGAACUAAUGUUUAUCUUUAUAACACACAGUAUAGUUUUGUGUGUAAUCGAUUAAACCUGAAAUCG